rnacentral:tRNA from 2 species
ACUUUUAAAGGAAGAUAGUAAUCCAGUGGCCUUAGGAGCC